UACGUAGGGUGCAAGCGUUAAUCGGAAUUACUGGGCGUAAAGCGUGCGCAGGCGGUUAUGUAAGACAGUUGUGAAAUCCCCGGGCUCAACCUGGGAAUUGCAUCUGUGACUGCAUAGCUAGAGUACGGUAGAGGGGGAGUGGUAAUUCGGCGUGAGCAGUGAAAAUGCGUAGAUAUGCGGAGGAACACCGAUGGCGAAGGCAAUCCCCUGGGGCCUGCACAUG
rnacentral:rRNA from 1 species